UGGGGAAUAUUGGGCAAUGGGCGAAAGCCUGACCCAGCAACGCCGCGUGAAGGAAGAAGGCCUUCGGGUUGUAAACUUCUUUUAUGAGGGACGAAGAAAGUGACGGUACCUCAUGAAUAAGCCACGGCUAACUACGUGCCAGCAGCCGCGGUAAUACGUAGGUGGCAAGCGUUAUCCGGAUUUACUGGGUGUAAAGGGCGCGUAGGCGGGCAGGCAAUUCAGAUGUGAAAUCUACGGGCUCAACCCGGAAGCUGCAUUUGAAACUGUAUUUCUUGAGUGUCGGAGAGGUAGACGGAAUUCCUAGUGUAGCGGUGAAAUGCGUAGAUAUUAGGAGGAACACCAGUGGCGAAGGCGAUCUACUGGACGAUAACUGACGCUGAGGCGCGAAAGCGUGGGGAGCAAACA
rnacentral:rRNA from 1 species